UUUCCUCUCUCACAAACCCUAGCAGAAGCCACCUUCUCUCCGCCACCGCGCCGCGGUUCACGCCGUUUACAGGUAACUCUCGCCGCCUACUUCGUUCUUAAGUUCCACUCGUCGUAGCUCUGCCCUCGUCGACUCGUUGGAGGCGUUUAUUACAAAUUGCGAGCGUGGCUCAAAACCCGUCGCCAACGCUGCCGUGGUGCGGUCGUUUCCGGGUAUUUUUAGUCCGGUUUCACGUCGGAGAGGCCUUUAAUGGGCCGGGUUGCGACUGAAUGUGGUCGUUUGGCCGCGGGAAACCCUCUGGAACGGAUCUGGAAGCUGGUGCCGUUUACUGUCAACCACCGUGAGCGCCUUCGCAGGUCGUUUAAGGCCACGACAAGGAUGGCUGUUUCAUUCCCGACCGAUGGGGACUGCUGCCGGUGAAGUUCAUCGCCGGCAGUCCCAUUUUCUGAUCUGGACAUUCUGAACCGGGAACGCAAAUACCCACUGCUCGAGCUGACCGCGGUAGAGGUUAUUAUUGACGUUAGCUUCUGUCGAGCCAACAAUAGUAGCGGUCGUGCUAAUAUGACGUUUUCGCAGAACUGUUAAAGGUCAAUCUAGGCUCAGCGGCGGCUUUCCUAUAUAUGUUUUCAGCCAAAAAUCCGACACCGGGUUUCUCAAUUGAAAUAAUCGAAACAUUUUCUGCUGUCUGUCUCUUAAUUGCGAUUGUCACUACCAUCAUAUUGGUUAUAUUGCUGCUGCUCAAGUUCGGUACUGUGAUCGGUCACACAACUGAACGAGACCCUUCAUAUACCAGAAUGGGAGGAUCCAGCAGUGGUCGCGCAACUGUACGAGGGACCAGACAUUUGCUUUAUACCCUGAACUUCUGCAUAUGAGCUUUUUCCAAUUUUUUUCCCUGUCCAGUGUUCCUUUAGUAGAUGAAUUCUGGGUUCUUCUUGGUUACUGUGUAUUCACAGCGUCAUUUUACUUGCACUUCGCCAUAUCAGUCACUCGAGAAAUUACAACAUCCCUGGGAAUUUAUUGCUUCAGGGUAACUAGGAAAGAGGGUUGAACUGCUCAACGGCCAUUAAGGACCUUUCGUACUGCUUUUGUUUGGGAUCUUGGAGGAAUCAAGACAUUCAUGUUUGUUUAAGUGUAAUAGAAUGUAUUGGACAAGGAUGAACUAAUGAUGAAAAUUUGAUGAAGCAUCUCAAACUUGAACCUAACAAACAUUGCUUGUUGCGAUGCUUUUCUUUUCUCUUAAACUAAUAAAAAACAGGAGUAUAAUAUUUUCUUGUGG